UGCGUUGAAAAGUUCAUUUCAUUAUCAGUUGUUAUCAUCGUAAAUCAAAAAUGAAAAUUGCGGAAUUGAAAAUUUCAAAGCUCAGUCAUUUGCUUGUAAAUAUGUACUUUCCCUUAAUAAUCCGCCGUCAACAAUCUUCACAGUCUACGAGUGAGUACUCGCUACAAUUUUUUAGCUAUGUCGUUGCCUGUUAGAACAAUCAAUGUGUUACGAAUCGCGAGAAAGUUCCCAUCCAAAGGAUUAAAAACAGAAUUCCGAAGACACUUUGGAAUUACGAGUAAUCAUUCGUUCAAUUCUUGGAUAAAAUAGCUCGGUACCUAUCGCAGCAUCAUGCGGAAUUGGAUACACGACAUGGAUCACGUACAGAAACACAUCAGCGACAAUUCAUGCUUUUAAAUUGAAGCAGACUCUUGUAGGUCAGUGUCACAGAAAUUGUCCGGCUGACUAUAGUGAGUCUUAAUUUGCCAGUCAUGUCACUUGCUACACAAACAGGAUCCGUCAUAUUAACGAACGCCUAUCCGAUCCGAAGUUAUGCAAAACCUUUGACACAAUGCGUCAACAGCGCAGCCAAGUGAAUUAAUCGAAAAUCCAUAAGUCUAGAUGACGUCAGCCGUCAGCAGGACCAACCGGUUGUAUCGAUCCAGUAUAUUAUUAAGUACUCGAAUUUCAACGAUGAUUCAUAAGAGAAAUUUAGUUUUAAUCGAAAUUUGACGUAGAUCUCGAAGAAAAAACGCCAACGUAUGAACAGAAAACGUACAGCUCCAUUUGUAGAAUCUAAUAACGACCCCAAAAAAUUCCAAUCUGAAUCUGACCCUGUGACCCUGACGAUCCGUCACUGGUGACUUCCUACGUUGAGUCGGAUUCUGAGUCUGACUCGAAUUCCAACUCAAAUUCAAAGGAUGAAUUUAAUUGAAUUUGAUGUGUCUGAUAUCAAGUCCGUAGGGCAAGAACAUGAUGCAGAGUUUAAAAAAGCAAAACAUAAUACCCGACCGAAGAAGUCUGUUCACAACAAUUCUGAUAUUGAAGAAUUACAAGAAGAUGAGGAAUUGAGGAGGUAUUCGAAAUUCACGGCAAAAACACUAAGAUUUGGUAAUUUUAACGUCAAACGAUGAAGAAUCGAAAAAAAAAGGACAAACGUCAGAAAGAAAAAUUUAAAAAGUAGGUAUUUCAAAACCAUAAAAAUCGAACUCUAAAAAAGUCAAAACAGAAGGUGAGUAGGUAAUUUACUAAUGAAAAAUUGUUCUUCAUUACCAAAAUAAAAUAGGUAUUGUUUUUCUGAUUUCGGAGGUGAUUGUGGGAAUUGCAAAAUAAAUUUCGAUGAAAAGUUAUGAUAAUUAAUUAUUUACCUACUAAUUUGUAGUUAAAACCUUGUUACAGAAUAAAAAAAACUAAUCUGCCUCAAGAAAAACACUUGGAAAGCUUUCGAGCAGAUCAGCAAAAUACGUUCAAGUGGGCUUAUUUAAAUUUCGAAUACUUAAACAAAAAACAAAAAAAGAAUAAAACUCACCAAUCUAUAACAGGUAUGCUUCAUUAUGCAGCAUUCAACACAGCAACGAUGCUUGAAAACUGUCAUCUUUGAUCAGGUUGUUAUCACAUUUCUUCGAUGUCGAAAAAAAACUAGCAUCUGAAAAUAACACAAGAAAAUAAAACGUAAGAAAUAUCGCAUGAAACAUUCCUACAAAAUAGCUUCAAAACAUAAAUACAGCGUCAAAAUCACUGGCAAUCACCAAAAAAAAAAAAAAAAAAAAAAAAAAAGAGGUAAUGAAAUUUUAGUAAAAUUUGACAAAAUCAAUAUC